AUAGCAUACACACCCAGAACUUGCAAUCAAAUUGGAAAGAAAGGUCACAUUUGCAAUAAGUUGGUGGAAAUGCAGGCAGCAUGGAAUUGAGUUCAACUGCAAUAUCGGCUCCUUUAUAAUUUUAGAUAUCCGAAGGCACUGAACCAAAGUAAUUAAACAGUUUGACAUAGAUGAACGUUUCUCUUUGGAAUAGUCUGGGUCAAGUUAAGGUUGGUCUCGGAAACUGUGAGAUGAAAAAAAUCCAACUUAAAAAUAAGUCAUUUUGAUGGAAAACAAAUUGCAUCUGAGCAUCCAAGUUUUUUAUACGGGUCUCUGUGAAUCUGUGUCAGCAGGUGGACGAAAACAGCUCUUUGACAUUUUUGGAUUCUUGGUGUUUACAAAUUGUUAGAAUGAAGCACGGUGAAAUUGAUGUUCCAAAGUUAAAAUGUAUAAAAUCUGCAGUGCAAGUACCUCUUCUAAUUUUCCUGUAGUAAAAUGUGCAAAACAUGACACAUGUUGAUGAAGAGUUGAGUUGGCUAUCCAAAAUUCCAUAACACAUGGAAGAAGUAUUGUAAAUGAGGACAUUUCUCCAAAGUUUGAUUGACCUUUUAUUUCUUUUGCUCAUUUGAUGGAUUUCCUUUUAAGUGUGCUUUCGUGCAAUUGGAUGGAUAAUUUGGAUGGCAUUCUCCACCUUUUGUGCUGUAAUGUUGUAGUGAGCCUGAAAUGCCUUUUGACUUGUCAAGUUUUUUUUUCAUCUACUGUUUGUUUUGGAAUCUCUUCAGCUGAUUUUCGUUAGUAUUUUCCUUCUAGGAUUCUUACUGACAAAGUGAAAAAAACUGAAAUGAUAUCCUGCACUUUCCUGGUAUUAUAUUUAUGUAUCUCAGAAAUUCCACUCAAUCACCAUUUUUAUUAUUCAUUCAUGACUUUUGGCCUUAUUUGUAACCAUGUUUUAAUAUAUUCAUUAAUAUUUUAUAUAUAAUAUUAUACAUAUGGUUUCAUCCGGGCACUCCAGUUUCCUCCCACAGUCCAAAGAUGUAAAAGUUAGUAAGUUAAUUGGUCAUUGUAAAUUGACCUGUGACUAAAUUAGCAUUAAAUUGGUGGGUUCCUGGCAGUGUGGCUUAAAGGGCAGGGAGGGCCUAUUCCAUGCUGUAUCUCUAAAUAUAUAUAAGACCAUAAAGUAUAGAAGCAGAAUUAGGCCAUUUGGCCCAUCGAGUCUGCUCUGUCAUUUCAUCACAGCUGAUCCAUUUCCCUCUCAGUCCCAAUCUCCUGCCAUCUCCCCAUAACCCUCCAGCUCCAAUUACAAAGUAAUUUGUCUGUCUUUGUUAUGUAUAGCUUUUCCUAAAUUCUAUUGUAAUUCUUAGUUUCUUUGUAAAUGCCUACAAGAAAACGAAUCUCAACGUGGUAUAUAAUGACGCAUUUCCGGAGGUGCUGCCUGACUUGCUGAGUUCCUCCAGAAUUUUGUGUGUGUUGCUUUGGAUUUCCAGUACAUGCCGAGUUUCUCGUGUUUUUGUUUUACAGGGCUCACCUCCUUAUGUAUAUAUACUCCAAAAAUGUUUGC